GAGUUUGAUCGUGGCUCAGAUUGAACGCUGGCGGCAUGCCUUACACAUGCAAGUCGAACGGCAGCACGGGAGCUUGCUCCUGGUGGCGAGUGGCGAACGGGUGAGUAAUGCAUCGGAACGUAUCCUGGAGUGGGGGGAUAACGUAGCGAAAGUUACGCUAAUACCGCAUAUUCUGUGAGCAGGAAAGCGGGGGACCUUCGGGCCUCGCGCUCUUGGAGCGGCCGAUGUCGGAUUAGCUAGUUGGUGAGGUAAAGGCUCACCAAGGCGACGAUCCGUAGCAGGUCUGAGAGGAUGAUCUGCCACACUGGAACUGAGACACGGUCCAGACUCCUACGGGAGGCAGCAGUGGGAAUUUUGGACAAUGGGGGCAACCCUAAAUCCAGCCAUGCCGCGUGAGUGAAGAAGGCC
rnacentral:rRNA from 1 species